GGUACGGACAAACCGUACAGGGGCCCGUGGGGGACCCUUUCGGUCAUGUAGAGGUCGCCGCAGUAACCGAGGAGGCGAGGAGUGUGACCACGCUCCUGAAGCAGCAGGCCCAGAAGAACCUGAGAGAACAGAACAGGAGGGCCCACAUGGAGCGAGCUUCUGGCAGGGACACUUUUCCGUCUUUGUUGCCGUCCGCCACAGAAAGGAUCACGCUCGCCAGACCGCCAAGGUUGGUCUGAUCUCCAAGUUUGGACUAGAAAGGUCACACACACAAAGUGCCAUGGGAGAGAACAUGAAGUGAUUCAAGACCAUCUCUCGGAAUUUCUCCACUGAUGUGCCUCGAGUGGGGGUAUCGAACACAGGGAUCUCCUUCUGAGGCUCCGGCUCAUAGCCCAUCUCGUAGUGCCUGACUUUCCCCAAAUGACAGCGAAUGAUCCCUUCGUGAUCUCCCCAGCUUCCCGUGUACACCUGGUGAAUGACCGAUAUACAUGUUUUUAAAUCGUGAACGGGGCCUUCAGUAGGGAGCUUUUCAGAAUGAAAGUGCAAUUAUCCACUUGCCUUGUAGUUGUAUACAGCCAGAUUGACAGAGUGACACUAAUAAAUGUCGGGACACUUCUACAUUAUCCAUACACUCACUGUUUUAUUAUGCUGCACUAUUUGCAUUCCUGUGAUUGGCUGGCAACCAGUUCAGGGUGUACCCGCCUCCUGCCUGAUGAUAGCUGGGAUAGGCUCCAGCACUCCCGCGACCCUUGUGAGGAUAUGC